rnacentral:rRNA from 1 species
GUGCCAGACUCCUACGGGAGGCAGCAGUGAGGAAUAUUGGUCAAUGGGCGGGAGCCUGAACCAGCCAUGCCGCGUGAAGGCGAGUGCCCUACGGGCGUUAAACUUCUUUUGUGCGGGAGCAAUAAGGGCCACGUGUGGCCCGAUGAGAGUACCGCACGAAUAAGCAUCGGCUAACUCCGUGCCAGCAGCCGCGGUAAUACGUAGGUGGCAAGCGUUAUCCGGAUUUAUUGGGUGUAAAGGGCGUGUAGGCGGGAGCGCAAGUCAGAUGUGAAAACUCAGGGCUCAACCCUGAGCCUGCAUUUGAAACUGUGUUUCUUGAGUACUGGAGAGGCAGACGGAAUUCCUAGUGUAGCGGUGAAAUGCGUAGAUAUUAGGAGGAACACCAGUGGCGAAGGCGGUCUGCUGGACAGCAACUGACGCUGAGGCGCGAAAGCGUGGGGAGCAAACAGGAUUAGAUACCCCUGUAUCC